rnacentral:rRNA from 1 species
UUGCGGCGUGGAUAAGACAUGCAAGUCGAACGAGAGAAUUGCUAGCUUGCUAAUAAUUCUCUAGUGGCGCACGGGUGAGUAACACGUGAGUAACCUGCCCCCGAGAGCGGGAUAGCCCUGGGAAACUGGGAUUAAUACCGCAUAGUAUCGAAAGAUUAAAGCAGCAAUGCGCUUGGGGAUGGGCUCGCGGCCUAUUAGUUAGUUGGUGAGGUAACGGCUCACCAAGGCGAUGACGGGUAGCCGGUCUGAGAGGAUGUCCGGCCACACUGGAACUGAGACACGGUCCAGACACCUACGGGUGGCAGCAGUCGAGAAUCAUUCACAAUGGGGGAAACCCUGAUGGUGCGACGCCGCGUGGGGGAAUGAAGGUCUUCGGAUUGUAAACCCCUGUCAUGUGGGAGCAAAUUAAAAAGAUAGUACCACAAGAGGAAGAGACGGCUAACUCUGUGCCAGCAGCCGCGGUAAUACAGAGGUCUCAAGCGUUGUUCGGAAUCACUGGGCGUAAAGCGUGCGUAGGCUGUUUCGUAAGUCGUGUGUGAAAGGCGCGGGCUCAACCCGCGGACGGCACAUGAUACUGCGAGACUAGAGUAAUGGAGGGGGAACCGGAAUUCUCGGUGUAGCAGUGAAAUGCGUAGAUAUCGAGAGGAACACUCGUGGCGAAGGCGGGUUCCUGGACAUUAACUGACGCUGAGGCACGAAGGCCAGGGGAGCGAAAGGGAUUAGAUACCCCUGUAGUCCUGGCAGUAAACGGUGCACGCUUGGUGUGCGGGGAAUCGACCCCCUGCGUGCCGGAGCUAACGCGUUAAGCGUGCCGCCUGGGGAGUACGGUCGCAAGAUUAAAACUCAAAGAAAUUGACGGGGACCCGCACAAGCGGUGGAGUAUGUGGCUUAAUUCGAUGCAACGCGAAGAACCUUACCUGGGCUUGACAUGUAAUGAACAACAUGUGAAAGCAUGCGACUCUUCGGAGGCGUUACACAGGUGCUGCAUGGCCGUCGUCAGCUCGUGUCGUGAGAUGUUUGGUUAAGUCCAGCAACGAGCGCAACCCCUGUUGCCAGUUACCAGCACGUGAAGGUGGGGACUCUGGCGAGACUGCCCAGAUCAACUGGGAGGAAGGUGGGGACGACGUCAGGUCAGUAUGGCCCUUAUGCCCAGGGCUGCACACGUACUACAAUGCCCAGUACAGAGGGGGCCGAAGCCGCGAGGCGGAGGAAAUCCUGAAAACUGGGCCCAGUUCGGACUGUAGGCUGCAACCCGCCUACACGAAGCCGGAAUCGCUAGUAAUGGCGCAUCAGCUACGGCGCCGUGAAUACGUUCCCGGGUCUUGUACACACCGCCCGUCACAUCAUGGAAGCCGGUCGCACCCGAAGUAUCUGAAGCCAACCGCAAGGAGGCAGGGUCCUAAGGUGAGACUGGUAACU